UCGGGGUUCAAACCCACAUACCGUGAGAUCAUGACUGGAGCUGAAACCAAGAGUCAGACACCUAAUGGAUUGAGCCACCCAGGUGCCCCUAGUUUUGAAAAUUUUAAUUUCAGAAAAGUCUUGAGUAGCUUUUGGGUUGCUUUUGUUUGGCAUUUUUUUGUGUGCCUUUGCUUUGGUUUUCUUUUUCAGAGAUUUCUAUUAACCUAUUAGUGGAGCUCUUGAAGAUGCUCAAAGAAAGAUGCCUAAGGGGAUAAAAAGAAAGAAGAAAAGAAACAGUGCACAUUCGAGAAACAGUUCACAUUGGAGAAACAGUUCACCUUCACUUGGAAAAGGCAACAAUGUACAUCUAUAGUCUUACCCGAGGGGUAAUCUCUGUGCCCAAGGUGGGGCUUGAACUCAUGACCACAAAAUCAAGAGCCUGAUGCUCCAUGGACUGAACCAGCCAGGCACCCCAAUACUACAUUUCAAAGCAUCAGUAUAACACAGCCUAUGUUCUAUGACUGUAACACAAUCACAUGGGAAAUAACUAAUUAAAG